CCCCGUGGGGUCCCUUUGGGGUCGGGGGGGGACGUGGGGACACUUGUGGGGUCCCGUCCCCACCUGGAGCUGCAGCCGCAGCCGGGCGCCCUCGCUGCGCGCCGCCAGCACCGCCGCCGCCAGCGCCUCCGCCUCGGCCAGCAGCUGCUUGGGCGGCGCGGAGCCUCCCCAGGGUCCUCUCCAGCCCCCGCGCCUUCUCCCGCAGCUCCCGCGCCUCCAGCUCCCGCUCGGCCUCCCUGGCCUCCGCCUCCUCCUUGGCCCUGCGCUCGGCGGCGGCGGCGGCCUCCCAGCGCCCGGCCUCGGCCCUGGCCUCCUCCAGCCUCUCCUGCAGCUCCCGCGCCCCCCCAGGAGCCUCCGGUUCCCCCGGUUCCCCCGGCCGGGGUCCUGGCGCGGGGCUGAGCCCCCCCAGCCCCUCUCCGACGUCCCCGUCCUCCUCGCCGGGGCGGCCUCCUCUCCCCGCCGCCUCCUCGGCCUCCAUCUCGGCCACCAGCUGCAGGGCCUCGUGCUGGGACCUCGCCAGGGCCUCCAGCCGCCGCUGCAGCUCCCGCAGGACGCAGGCGNGGGCUUCUAUGGGGCCAGGUCUUGGGGGGAAGGGGGGGAGGGCUUCUAUGGGGCCGGGUUUCUAUGGGGUGGGCUUCUGUAGCGUGGGCUUCUGUGGGGCCGGGACACUGUAGAGCCAGGACACUGUAGGGCCAGGUUUCUAUGGGGCCGGGACACCGUGGACCUGACCUCUGUGGGGCCAGGACUAUGGGGCCGUGCUGUGUGACCGGUGUUUGUAGGACCAUCCUCUGCGGGGCCGCAGCAGCCGCCCCGACCCCUCCACCACUGUCAGACCCCACAGAGUUUCCCCCCGAAUAUGUCCCCGUUCCCCCCAAAAGGACAAGACUCUGUGGGGUCGCGCUGUGGGGCCGCCAGCUCCGUUUUAAUGCCGGGCCGCAUCCUGGCCCCGCUCCUCCGCCCGCAGGAUGCGCAGCAGCCGCCCGUGCACCGCCUCGUCCAUGAAGCCCUGCGGGAGGGCCAAAAACCCCUGAAACCUCCCCAAAACCCCCUUCCCCUUUUUUUUUUUUUUUUUUUUUUUUUUUUUAGUCUUUUUCUCUUUCUUUAUUGAUGCAAUUCACCUCUCAUUUUUCGAAUUUCCUUUCCCCUAACCCUAACCCAAACCCCUAACCCUAACCCUAACCCCCCCCCCCCCCCCCCCCCCCCCCCCCCCCCUUUUUUUUUUUUUUUUUUUUUUUUUUUUUUCCGCCUGCCCCGAUUCCGCAGGAAUUCCACCCAAAACCCUACCUGGGCGGCGUUGAGCAGGUGGCUGCGGUACACGGCCACCACGUCCCGGUGGGCUUUCUGCUGCACCUGG
rnacentral:lncRNA from 1 species